GCCUCAUUGACCACAAUAUGAUAAUAUCAUUGUGAUUAAAAGAUAUUGAUGUGUAAAUGGUGCCAUGAAGAUAUUUUGUUUGUUUAAUAAAAUUUCUAGUUAUAAAUAAAACAAUUAACAUAUAGAGCAAUCAACGUAGAGAGUUUUCCGUAUUUUUAUCCAGAAAAAAUUAAAAUGAGUGAUGAUGAUCGAGACAUCGACGUAGAGAGCGACGAAGGUGAUGAUUCUGAUUCUCGUCAAGCAACAGGCAGACAAAAUUCCGGUAAUCAGUAUUAUUCUCAGGCAGAGAAGAGAGCACAUCAUAAUGCUUUGGAAAGGAAACGACGUGAUCACAUAAAAGAUAGUUUUAGCAGUUUAAGAGAUUCUGUGCCUGCCUUAAAUGGCGAAAAAGUGGCCAGCCGAGCUCAAAUUUUAAAAAAGGCUGCAGAGUAUAUUCUCAUAAUGAGAAAAAAGAACAGCUCCCAUCAACAAGAUAUUGAAGAUCUAAAAAGACAGAAUAGCUUAUUAGAAGCUCAAAUUCGUACAUUAGAAAAGGCUAAAUCAACAGGGUCAUACAAUAUAGAUGCUGAUAUCAAAGAUGGAAUGUACAAUGAAACUGAAUCAGAUACAUCAGAUAACGAAGGUUCAAUGCAACCAAGGAGGCCCAAGAAAUUGAAAGUAGGGUCUUAUCAUUAGCACAGGAAACGUUUUUAUAUAUUAAGUAGGUAGUAUUAAAUAAAAUUAAUUACUACUGUAAUUACUGAAUCUGUUUCAACUUUAUUGUUAGUUUUUUGUACUCCACGUUUCUUUUUUUUCUUGAUUUAUUAGAGGAGAAAAAUAAUUUUUUCUCCAAGAUUGGUAGGUAAAUCCUACUUGAAAAUGAGUAUUAUCCUUUGGUAGAAUAGCUAAAAGCAUAUCUAGAGAGAAAAAGGAACAUGAAUUGAAAAAAAUGGUUCAAAAACACUGAUUUGAAAAAAAUGGAAAUUCAUAAAAUAUUUGCAAAAUUACUACAUUUUCACCAAAUGUAUGUCAUUUUAGUGAAAGUAGUUUAGUAAAAUAGCUGUAAUAAAGCAAAUGAAAACGGUUCCUAUUGUAUCGAAUGAUAAUCAAAAUUAGUUUUGAUAGGUUUAGUAGGUUCAGCUCUGUAGUUUUCCCACACUGUUUCAACAGCCCAGUUUUUUUUCUUUUCGGAAUUUCUACGUCCGGAAGUUACGUUGGUAGCUUGAGAAAAAUAACUCAAAUAAUGUUUUCCCAUACAAUCUUUUUGGUAACUUAUUUUACUGGCGACUUAUUUUCUCAUGAAAUAAUUUUUUAACAUCAGUAGUAUGAAUCUUCUGCCUGUUAUUUUGAGACCUCUUACAAUUGAGUUUGUCCUUGAGGACAACAAAUUAUUUGAUACACCAAUACUCGCAAUUACUCUGUCUAAGUAGUGUAAUUGGCAUACUUAGAAACAGGAACUACAGAAAAUGUUUUUACUAUUUGAAAAGACAGCAAAAAGAUAUGCCCUACCUGUCAACGAACAUAACACUAAGUAUAUGGAAAUGGGUAACGAAUUUUUGAGUGACAACCAAUUGAAAAUCACAAUAGACCAAAACAAGAAGUACUGGUUCCAUAGAGUACAAGAGUUUGAAUACAUGGGAGUGACAGUAACAAGUAAAAGGAAAGGAAUUAAAAAAUUCGACAAGAGAUUGGCAAGCGGCAAUAAAAUAAUUGAAGCUCUAGGAAACCUAUUAAGGUGCAAAGAUAUCUCAAGGGAAGCAAAGCUAGAAUUUACAGGACAGUUACAUAACCUACGGUGUUAUAUGGCAGUAAAUGUUGGGUCAUGAAUAAGAGAGAAGAAAACAGGCUAAAUGCAUAGAAGAAAAGAGUGUCGAGAAAAAUUUUUGGUGGGAGAGCAGUGGAACAAGAUUAAAGGUUUAUAUGGUCAGUCAGAGAGGACAAAAAGACUACGUUGGUUGGGGCAUAUAGCCAGAAUGGAAGAAGACAGGUGGGGUGAAAAGAGCCUUAACAAGUGGAGAAUGUGCAAAAAGAAGAAGAGGGCGUCCACUAGAAAAUUGAUAGAAGCAUAUAAGGAAGACUUACGGAAGUUAUAGAUAGUGAACUGGCGUAAUGCAGCCGUGAACAAAAGGAGUAGAGAAACUUCAAACUAUGGGCCUAUAAGGCCUGCUAUGCUGGUUUAUAUAUAUAUAUAUAUAUAUAUAUAUAUAUAUAUAUAUAUAUAUAUAUAUAUAUAUAUAUAUAUAUAUGUAAUGGGGAAUUCUCCUAUAACCAAAGUCAUGUUAAAUUAUUACAAAUAAUGAAAGUUCAACGAAUUUUAGACGACACAUAUUCGAUACUUUUUUUAAAAAGAAAUGUCUACCCUGUUAAAUUUGAUAAAAAAGAUUGGACAUUUAAUUUUUAAAGCGUUGUGUUUCUAGUUCAAUUUCAAUAUUUGGCAACCUCGCAUAGGUGUGAUACUUGUUCUCAAUUCUAAUGGGUUGAAUAAUGUAGGUAGACGUAUUAUAUCUGUAAUCUGAUUGGUCAUUUGAUUAUUUACUUUGUCUUUCCUUUUCUGUUACUUUUAAAACGAUAAAGAAAGCAAGCAAGUCCUAUAUUUUAAUAAACAUAUAUAAAUAUAACCUCAAAUUUUUGUUUACAUAUUUGUUGAUGAAUUUUGUAGUUAUCAAAGUGAAAGAUUGAAAAUAGUGAAAAUAGUUGUGUAAUAGUGUGAAAAUGGCUAAGGUUGAAACUGAUUUUAUUAAAGCUGAUUCAAGCAAUUUACCCCGUGUUACUUCAGAAAUGAUAGCAAAUUAUUUUGUUGAAAAUGCAAACUAUAUAAGGGUGGAAUCACGUGGAAAAAACACAUGAGAUCAGCAAGGCAAUCAUAUGGAGAUUCUGCCAUUGGAUAUGUGUAAUUAAAAAGGAACAAUAAUAUUUGUUUGAUCAAAGCAAAAAUAACGCCAGAAGAUAAAGUACAUUCAAAAGCUUAUGAUGUAAAUGUCAUAGUAAAUGAGAAUGAGAAUAUAAUCAAUCUAUGUGAAUGUGAGGAUUGUGCUGCUGCCAAAGGAGGCUGUAAACAUGCGAUAGCGUUUUUAUUUAGGAGAAGUGAGGAACCAUCUCCUACAGAACAAUUAUGUUAUUGGAAGAAAUCAGAAUUAUUGAAAGUAGGUUCACUGAAAAAAUUUAUGAAAUUGUAUGAGAUUGUAAAAGUUCCAUCAAUGACUGAUGAAAACUCAUCUGUAGUAAUAGAGAAUUUUAGAGAACAUAAUAGAGGAAAAUCCAUAGAUAGUUUGUUACUAAAUAUGGAUAGAGGUCCUUUGUAUCCUACUUUAUCGUUACACCAGCUAUUUAUUCAUUGUCAAAUAGAAAAUGCUGAUAUCGACAUAACUCCAGAAUUUUUCUUAGAGUACUGUUAAAAAAAAUGGAUGUAAAUGAUUGUGCACUUGCUUCCAAGGCUACAAGAAACCAGUCCAAAAAUACAAACUGGUAUGAAUUAAGAUUUGGACGAAUUACAGCUUCGAAGAUUUAUGAGGCAAGCCAAUGUAAAACAGAAGGUUCCUUACUCGAGAAAAUUUUUGAUGCUACAAAAAUUGUGCAGACAAAAGCCAUAGAGAGGCUUAGAAUUAGAAGACGGGGUUAUAAAAUGCAUUGAAAAUAUAUGUCGAAUUGAAACAACGAAAUGUGGACUUGUUUUAAAUAAUAUGUUACCAGUCUUUGGAGCCUCGCCUGAUGCCAUUUCAAGUGAUGCAGUCCUAGAAGUGAAAUGCCCAUUGACUAGUAUAAGUAAUUUUGUCAAGGAUGAAAAAAUUAUUGAAAAAUACAUGGGUCAGAUGCAGUUGGAAAUGAAAAUGUGUAAGAAGACUAAAGCAAUUUUUGCAGUUGCAGAUCCAGAAUUUGAAACAAAUAAUAAAAUUUAUAUACAUAAUGUUACGUGUAAUGAAAUUUAUUGUAACGAGUUAAUUGAAAAUAGUUUACUAUUCUGGAAAAAAUACGUAUUUCCAAAGUUAACUAGGAUUUAUAAAUAAAAUAGUUUCACAA